rnacentral:lncRNA from 1 species
GGUUGUGCAUCUUGCCAUGAUUAUGUGAAGGUUGUUUACCAUGAUUGUUUGUUUCUUUCCGGUGUUGCUUCUUCAGGUUGGUUCCGAUAAUGUCGCAUUUGUGAGGAACCGUUCGACUACGUCUGUUUGUCUUCUUCAUGGACUCGCUCUUCUUCCUUGCGGGAUUUCAGGCAAGAUGACCAUACCCUCGAAAUCACUUCUAUCUUUGCUUGCGUAGAUGCUCGCUCUUUUGCUAUGCCUAUGCUGUGAUACCUACCACUUGCUUAUCAUGCCUCCCAUUUUGUUGAACCAAGCCUCUAACCCACCUUGUCCUAGCAAACCGUUGUUUGGCUAUGUUACCGCUUUGCUCAGCCCCUCUUAUAGCGUUGUUAGUUGCAGGUGAAGAUCGAAGUUUGUUCCUUGUUAGAACAUGGAGAUGUCGUUCCUUGUUGGAACAUUUAUUUACUUGUUGGGAUAUCACAAUAUAUCUUACUUAAUUAAUGCAUCUAUAUACUUGGUAAAGGGUGGAAGGCUCGGCCUUAUGCCUGGUGUUUUGUUCCACUCUUGCCGCCCUAGUUUCCGUCAUAUCGGUGUUAUGUUCCCGGAUUUUGCGUUCCUUACGCGGUUGGGCUAUUAUGGGAACCCCUUGAUAGUUCUCCUUAAGUAAAGCUUUUCCAGCAAUGCCCAACAUUGGUUUUACCGUUUGCCACCUAGCCUUUUCUUGUCCCUUGGGGGUCACGCGCCCAAGGGUCAUCAUUAUUUUAAACCCCCGGGCCAGUGCUCCUCUGAGUGUUGGUCCAACUUGUCAGCCGCCGGUGGCCACCAGGGGCAACUCUGGGCUAGCCUACCGGAAGUUUAGACAAUCCGGUGUGCCCUGAGAAAGAGAUAUGUGCAGCUCCUAUCGGGAUUUGUCGGCACAUUCGGGCGGUGUUGCUGGUUUAGUUUUACCCUAUCGAAAUGUCUUGUUGUACCGGGAUACCGAGUCUGAUCGGAAAGUCUCGGGAGGAGGUCUAUUCCUUUGUUGACCAUGAGAGCUUGUGAUGGGCUAAGUUGGGACACCCCUGCAGGGAUUUGAACUUUCGAAAGCCGUGCCCGCGGUUAUGGGCAGAUGGGAAUUUGUUAACGUCCGGUUGUAGAAAACCUAAACUUAACCUUAAUUAAAAUGAAUCAACAGCGUGUGUAACCGUGAUGGUCUCUUUCCGGCGGAGUCCGGGAAGUGAACACGGUUGUUGGAGUUAUGCUUGACGUAGGUUGCUAUAGGAUCACUUCUUGAUCAUAGACUUCUCGACCGUGCUUUGCCUUCUCUUCUCGCUCUCUUUUGCGUAUGUUAGCCACCAUAUAUGCUAGUCGCUUGCUGCAGCUCCACCUCAUACCUUUACCUUACCUAUAAGCUUAAAUAGUCUUGAUCGCGAGGGUGCGAGAUUGCUGAGUCCCUGUGGCUCACAGAUACUUCCAAAACCAGUUUGCAGGUGCCGAUGAGUCCGUGCAGAUGACGCAACCAAGCUCCGGAGGAGCUCGAUGAAGAUCAUGCUCUUUAUGUUGUUUCGUUCUAGAAGAUCAGUGGUGGAGCCCAGUUGGGGUCGAUUGGGGACCUUUGUCGCAUUUGGGGUUCUUCUUUUAUUUUGGUUCCGUAGUCGGACCUUGAUUGUAUUUGGGGGUUGUAAUGCUUUAUUCAUGUAUUUGUGUGAAGUGGCGAUUGUAAGCCAACUAUGUAUCUUUUUCCCCUAUUGUAUCACAUGGGUUGUGUGAAGAUUACCUCACUUGCGGCAUUGCUUUCAAUGCGGUUAUGCCUCUAAGUCGUGCUUCGACACGUGGGAGAUAUAGCUGCAUCGAGGGCGUUACAAGGGAGGUCAUGACUUUAGUUAAUGUUAAUCCCACUAUUUUGGAAGAGUGUCAACUUUGCAUGCAUGUGGAUCAUGUUGAAAAUAUUUUAUGUGAUAGCUAUUUUGUUGAAUUUUCU